rnacentral:rRNA from 1 species
GUGGGGAAUAUUGGACAAUGGGCGAAAGCCUGAUCCAGCCAUGCCGCGUGAGUGAUGAAGGCCUUAGGGUUGUAAAGCUCUUUCGCCGAGGACGAUAAUGACGGUACUCGGAUAAGAAGCCCCGGCUAACUUCGUGCCAGCAGCCGCGGUAAUACGAAGGGGGCUAGCGUUGUUCGGAAUUACUGGGCGUAAAGCGUAUGUAGGCGGGUCGUUAAGUUAGGGGUGAAAUCCCAAGGCUCAACCUUGGAGCUGCCCUUGAUACUGGCGAUCUUGAGUCCGGGAGAGGUGAGUGGAACUGCGAGUGUAGAGGUGAAAUUCGUAGAUAUUCGCAAGAACACCAGUGGCGAAGGCGGCUCACUGGCCCGGUACUGACGCUGAGAUACGAAAGCGUGGGGAGCAAACAGGAUUAGAAACCCUUGUAGUCC